rnacentral:misc_RNA from 1 species
AGCAUACAUAGUGUUGUGCUAUUGCCUCGGCUCUGGAAGGCUCCUUAAAAUACAAUGACAUCUUUUGAGGUAGUUAUAUAAUCUUGCUUCUUGUUUUGCAGGAUUGAACAUCUUUAAAGCAUAUUCGGAUUCUAGCAGCAGCUCUUGUUUUCCUUGUGCUAUCAUCUUUUCUAACCAGUCAAUAUUUCCUCGUAGUUCUUGAUAGAGGGUAGCUUGUUUGUCCUUUUCUUUUCUUUCCUUGGCACAUUCCUUCGAGAUGUCGUUAAUUAGUUGUGCCUGAUCUUUAAGCUCAAGCUUAUUCCUUUUGUUCUCUUAUUUGUAUUCUUCCAUCAGUAUCUCAUGAUCUCUAAUUUUUCCCGUAACUUGCCAUUUUGUAUCCCUGCCUCUUUUACCUUGCUUUGGAGCAAGGCUUUCUCUUUUUUUCCACUGGAUUUUCUGUCCCUCAUAUUCUACUUCUCCUACCAUUAUUCCUUCUCUAAGCCUUUUUACCUCCUUUUUCAAAAUUUGCUAUUGAUCUUCUAACUAUUUUAUGCGUUCUUUCAAUUGCUGGUUCUUGAUGGUUGAACUCUAGAGAGGACUAACCAAUCUGGUACUAAUUUCAUCUGAGCGAGCUUCUUGAUGAGACAUGCUACCCUCGAGCCCUAACAGUUUGGUGACUUGAUACACCCUGCCCCUCCUGUUUCUCCAUAGGAGAUACUCUUCUGUUGUACUUGGCCCUUUAGGCAACAAUUCCAUCAAGAUUACCUUUUUCCAGGAUUUGUGUAAGGUUUUCAGUUCGUCCUCUCUAUCGGGUUCAUGAUAGAAAUGAGUUCGA